rnacentral:rRNA from 1 species
CGUGCCAGCAGCCGCGGUAAUACGUAUGUCGCAAGCGUUAUCCGGAAUUAUUGGGCAUAAAGGGCAUCUAGGCGGCCAGACAAGUCUGGGGUGAAAACUUGCGGCUCAACCGCAAGCCUGCCCUGGAAACUGUUUGGCUAGAGUGCUGGAGAGGUGGACGGAACUGCACGAGUAGAGGUGAAAUUCGUAGAUAUGUGCAGGAAUGCCGAUGAUGAAGAUAGUUCGCUGGACGGUAACUGACGCUGAAGUGCGAAAGCUGGGGGAGCGAACAGGAUUAGAUACCCUGGUAGUCCACGCCGUAAACGAUGA